rnacentral:rRNA from 1 species
AUGGCUGUUCAUCUACCUUUAUCCUUGGAAGCUCAGGCAGAAGCCCGUUUACUUAUGUUUUCUCAUAUGAAUCUCUUAUCUCCCGCUAUUGGGGAUCCUAUUUGCGGCUGCUAUUCUGAAUUACUCUAUUAUUCCGAAGCCAAUGAAAAGUAA